GAGUAUCUAGAAUCAGUUCAUGAACCUAAGAAUACUAUCCCACCAUAUGAUUCUAAUGUGUAAAUUUUCGCCUAUUAUACUAAAGAUAAAUAUGAGACUUGGUAUUCAUCUCUGCUGUUAUACUGCUCCAGGUAAAGGAAGCUGUCACUUCUCAUCAUCAUCAGGAACAGUCAGCACAAGCCCACCAAGUCAAAUGAGUCCACCAGAUUUUAAUUCCCCACCAUCAUCUACAUACCCACCCCC